rnacentral:lncRNA from 1 species
GGCCUUGAAUGGGGAAAUCUAUUCUAGGCAAACCAAACUGGAAGAUUUUGACUAUGGUGUGAACAUAAAAGCCAUGCUCAACAAGACUGAUUCUUCCCAGGCCCAUGCAGUCCUAAAGAGUUAUGGUAAGAACAGUCUCAAUGGAUCACUUUACCUUCAUUCCAGUGGAAAGGAUCUAGUGCUGCUGGAGGUUGAUAUGAGCAAUGAGAACAGGAAGAAUGCCAGGUUUAUUGGAGUGAGUGCUCUCUUGCAUCAAACAAUUUUGAAAGAAAUGGAGUCUACACAGCUGCAGCUAAUGGGCAAAAUAUAUCCCUCAAGACUUUUCGUAUCUUCUCAGAUGAAGCUAAAUGAAAACAGGUUGUGUUUGGACUUCAUGGGAGCUAAGGAACAGAAAGUUGGUCUUGUCAUGACUGUAAAAGGAAAAAUUCAACACAACAUUGCUGCCUGGAAGGCUGUACCCCAGCUUCUUUCUCUUAAUGGAUCCCUGA